rnacentral:tRNA from 1 species
GGAGAGAUGGCUGAGUGGUCGAAAGCGCUUGUCUCGAAAACAAGUAAACACUUUCGUGUUUCGGGGGUUCAAAUCCCCCUCUCUCCG